GUUAUACAAUAAAUAUAAAUUAAUAUUUUUGGUUUUAAAAGUUAAAUUUAUUUCUAAAUUUUAUGAAUUUAAUGUAUUUAUUUUUAGGUGAAAUUUAAAUUUUUAUUAAAUUUUUUAGUGAUUCUAUUGAAGUGUAUAAUAUAAACUAGGAUUAGAUACCCUAUUAUAAUAUAUUUAAAUUAUAGCCAGGGUAGUAUUAGUUAUUUUCUUUAAACCUAAAGAAUUUGGCGGUGUUUUAUUCUAUUCAGAGGAAUUUGCCCCUUAAUCGAUAGUCCACGUUUUAUCUUACUUGAAUUUGUAAAGUUUCAGUAUGUAUACCGCCGUUAUAAGUUUAUUUUAUUAGAAGGAGAAUUUACUUGAUUCUUGUUUUUGAGUUAUUUC
rnacentral:rRNA from 1 species